CCUACGGGUGGCAGCAGUGAGGAAUAUUGGUCAAUGGGCGGGAGCCUGAACCAGCCAAGCCGCGUGAGGGAAGAAGGUACAGCGUAUCGUAAACCUCUUUUGUCAGGGAACAAAGGCGGGGACGAGUCCCCGGAUGAGGGUACCUGAAGAAAAAGCAUCGGCUAACUCCGUGCCAGCAGCCGCGGUAAUACGGAGGAUGCGAGCGUUAUCCGGAUUUAUUGGGUUUAAAGGGUGCGCAGCGGGCUUGUUAAGUUCGCGGGAAAAGUACGGGGCUAAACCCUGGCGAGCCGUUGAAACUGGCGGGCUGGAGGUGGGGAGAAGUACGCGGAAUGCGCGGUGUAGCGGUGAAAUGCUUAGAUAUCGCGCAGAACCCCGAUUGCGAAGGCAGCGUACCGGCUCCAAACUGACGCUGAGGCACGAAAGCGUGGGUAUCGAACAGGAUUAGAUACCCUGGUAGUC
rnacentral:rRNA from 1 species